CUUCAGAGUUGUCUUAAAAACAAUGUAAUGUGGAUGAAAAAAAGAAGUGAUCAGCGUGUGAUUUUCUGAUAUGUGCUCCCAGCAGGUCACAGUCCUGGAUGCAAGUGUCACUGGCUCAGUCAGAAUUUAUUGCCCAGGGAGCUUUUGAGAGUCAUCCACACUGUUGUCUGUAUGGAGUCACAUGUAGGGCAAAUCAGGAUUCCGAGCUGGUGAUUUAUUUUCUGAGCUGCCAAAAUGUAGCUAGAGUGUGACUGAAAACCUUCAGACAGCUACAGCAGAAGGAACUCCACAGAGCUCUCUUCAAACAACUGGUCAAACUAAGAGCUCCACCCUUUUUCAAAAUGAUCAAUCAAUCUCUUUCACUAACAAGGGCAUGGUAAAAACCAUUAUG